ACCUCAAGAAAAGAGCAAUUAAUGUAGCAAACCCCGGCUUUGCAGAAGCCCUAAACACUUCUCACAGGAGUUCAAAUCCCCUCUUUAAUA
rnacentral:tRNA from 1 species